AGAGCGAACGCUGGCGGCAGGCCUAACACAUGCAAGUCGAGCGCCGUAGCAAUACGGAGCGGCAGACGGGAGAGUAACACGUGGGAACGUACCUUUUGGUUCGGAACAACUGAGGGAAACUUCAGCUAAUACCGGAUAAGCCCUUACGGGGAAAGAUUUAUCGCCAAAAGAUCGGCCCGCGUCUGAUUAGCUAGUUGGUGAGGUAACGGCUCACCAAGGCGACGAUCAGUAGCUGGUCUGAGAGGAUGAUCAGCCUCACUGGGACUGAGACACGGCCCAGACUCCUACGGGAGGCAGCAGUGGGGAAUAUUGGACAAUGGGCGCAAGCCUGAUCCAGCCAUGCCGCGUGGGUGAUGAAGGCCCUAGGGUUGUAAAGCCCUUUCGGCGGGGAAGAUAAUGACGGUACCCGCAGAAGAAGCCCGGCUAACUUCGUGCCAGCAGCCGC
rnacentral:rRNA from 1 species